rnacentral:lncRNA from 1 species
CAGACUUCUAUUGUUGCAAAGUGACUAUAUUGGGUUUUUAUCAAGUACAACUACUAGGUCAUAGUUGUCAGAUGAAUAGUCUCUAAUUGUUGGCAAUGAUGGGCCACCACUCAAAGGUCUAGCUACCAGAUUAAAACAAAAGAGCAUGUUUCAUCAGAUUGAAUUCUAACCUGUAUCUAAAUAUUGAUUAUCAAGCAAGCAUAAAAACAAUUAUUUAAAGUGUUCUAUAAUCUGGACAAAGUGCUAUCUGCCUGUUUUUUUUUUUUUUGUUUUGUUUUGUUUUGUUUUGUUUACUUUUCAGACCUCAUUUUCCCAUCCAUGAAUUAUUUAUUUGAUGUAAGCCAGUCCAUAUGCUGGAGGCAGGUUUAGGUAACCCAGGUAACGUCAUGGACUUCAGUCAACCAGAAUCGUAAUCUUCCAAUUCAAAAUGACCCAGAAACUUUAAGAAACAAAGAUUGCACCAUUUAACUUGAAAUGCAUUGAACGCAGUAACUCAUGAAUGGAGGAAACUUGACAAGAAUGACUAAAUUAUCCUUAUUACCUCAAUUCGAGGACAGAAAGAAGCAAUUGGAAAUUUUAUAACUAUCAAAAUUGGCAUGAGGAAAUACCCACAAGCCAUGAUUAGCCUGAGACUGGUCUGGAUUAGAAAGAAAAGUGAUGAUACUGGAUGCAAUAACAAACUGUUCAUGAGUUUCCAGAGUGACAAACUAAAUGCUGACUAAAUACACAGGUUAAUAUAAACAUCCACACAUUUCAUAGGUUAUAAAAAGCACAGUAGAAUGCUAAUAAAGAGCUAUAAAAGAUCUUCA